rnacentral:rRNA from 1 species
UACGAAGGGGGCUAGCGUUGCUCGGAAUCACUGGGCGUAAAGCGCACGUAGGCGGAUCUUUAAGUCAGGGGUGAAAUCCCAAGGCUCAACCUUGGAACUGCCUUUGAUACUGGGGAUCUCGAGUCCGGAAGAGGUGAGUGGAACUGCGAGUGUAGAGGUGAAAUUCGUAGAUAUCUGGAGGAACACCGGUGGCGAAGGCGAGUCUCUGGACAGUUGCUGACACUGAGGCACGAAGGCUAGGGGAGCAAACGGG